UUUUGUUGAAAGGGAAGGGCAUUAGAUCAGACUUGGUGUUUUACGAUUAUCUUCUCUUCUUGAGUUGUGCACUCGUAUUUCACUGGGCCAGCAUCGAUUCGGAUGGCAAGAUAAUGGCAGUUGAAUGUGGCUUCACUUCGGUGGAGUGUUAUAGCUUCUGCUGAUAUUGCCUUCGGAUCG
rnacentral:rRNA from 1 species